rnacentral:lncRNA from 1 species
GGCAGAAAGAAGUUAGUUCUUUGCAAAGGUAUCACAGGAAUGGCCUCUAGCCUGGCUGCUAAUCAAGUCCUUGCUUCCCUUGGAAACCUCAGGAGCUGGGCAGGCCUUCAGUAUCUACCUUUCUCUCAGCGCGACCUCCUUCCAGGCUCCUACUAGAACGGCCCAUUAACUAGAUGACUGAAGGCCCCGACCGUGAUACCAACG